rnacentral:rRNA from 1 species
UACGUAGGGUCCGAGCGUUGUCCGGAAUUACUGGGCGUAAAGAGCUCGUAGGUGGUUUGUCGCGUUGUUCGUGAAAACUCACAGCUUAACUGUGGGCGUGCGGGCGAUACGGGCAGACUGGAGUACUGCAGGGGAGACUGGAAUUCCUGGUGUAGCGGUGGAAUGCGCAGAUAUCAGGAGGAACACCGAUGGCGAAGGCGGGUCUCUGGGCCGAUACUGACGCUGAGGAGCGAAAGCGUGGGGAGCGAACAGG